rnacentral:rRNA from 1 species
GCCUACGGCCAUACCACCUUGAACACGCCCGAUCUCAUCUGAUCUCGGAAGAUAAGGGUAUAAUGAAUAAUGCCUCAUAAAGAUGAGGACAUAAUGAAUAAGGUUUAAUAAAGUUUCUAGUCUCAGGUU